CAUACUUUGAACAAAUAACAACAACAAAAACAGUUGAACAUUGUUUAACAAAUGUGAAACACAUUUUAUAUGGAUUUAAACUGCAGCCUAUAUAACAGAAACCAUCGGAGACAUGAACACGUAAACGCCUCAUGGAGCGCUCCGUCCUACGUUACGUCGCCGCCAUCUUGAAUGUGGCAGUGGAGCGGUCGUCCUUGUUUCAACCGUUUUACAAUACAAACUGGAUUCAUUGGCAUUUCCUUUCACAGGAUAAAAGAGAACCAGGACGUCCAGUAAACAGAACCAGGACGACUCAGAACUCACUGGACUUCUCCCAGUUUGACCAGCAGACUGAAGCCCUGCUUGUGACCAGUGUUCCCAGUAUUAAAAAUAAAU